ensembl:lncRNA novel transcript, antisense to ARPC5L
ACCUGGAGUGCGGUAUGGGAUCACCGCAGCCUCCCCCACCUCAGUGUCCCUUCCACGGAGUCUCUAUUUUGUCACUGAGGAUCGGGCGCCCGGCAUCUGUGCAGGCCCCGCCUCGUGUGUGCCGUAACUGCGCUGGUUCCCCGGCUUUCCCGCGCCUCCGAGGAGCCCCUGGCCUCAGCGGGGCCGGGCGCGUGCUCCCGGGGUGAUCCCUGCCGGUACUGGGGAAGGCUGGGCCCCCGGGAGAAGGCUCGCGGCUCUACUUCUCGAGUGCCGGGCAGGCUUCUUGGAGAAGAAACCUUCGAGCUGAUGACUGAGGGAUGAGUAGGAGUUCCUGUGCCCGGGGAGUGGCGCGGGAGGCGCCUGUGUCUCGGAGCCUUGAACGCCACCACACUUAGUACGAGGAGGCCGCCUGUACACAGAGGUGACCCUCUUAAAGGAGUAGGGGGCUUUAAAUACGUUUAGUGCGAUCACGGGACUGACAAGACGUUGAAGACGUUGUGACUCGAGGGAUUCUGCGACCCCACGUGUGUAGCAGUCACCUUGGCCAGGCAGUUGGGGGCGCCAGGAGAGGGAGAUGGCCCUGUGGCCACCGUCCUGGCAGGAGAGGCCUGGCUGGAGAGGCACAUCUUGACAGAAACCAAAUUCUCAGAAUCUGAGAUGGGGGAAAGCGGUUUAGGGAAGUCAAGGACGACUCUGAGGUGCCAGAUUUGGUGCCUGGGCUGUUAUCCCAGGGGUUCUGUUAAUUGAUCUUAGCCUUAGGGUAAGUAAAAUGGGUCUUUUUAUAUAAUAGUGUGAAAACUAUUUUCAUCUAAUAGUACUCUUUUUAAUAAAAGUCAGUAGUUGGAAUGUGA